rnacentral:rRNA from 4 species
UCACGCCGACCUCAGAUCAGGUAAGACUACCCGCUGAACUUAAGCAUAU